rnacentral:rRNA from 1 species
CCCUUAGAUGUUCCGGGCUGCACGCGCGCUACACUGAUGCAUGCAACGAGUUUUCGACCUUGCCUGAAAAGGUUGGGUAAUCUGUUUAACAUGUGUCGUGAUGGGGAUAGACCAUUGCAAUUAUUGAUCUUCAACGAGGAAUUCCUAGUAAGCGCGAGUCAUCAGCUCGUGCUGAUUAUGUCCCUGCCCUUUGUACACACCGCCCGUCGCUCCUACCGAUUGGGUGAUCCGGUGAAUGAUUCGGACCAGCGUGCUGCUCAGAUCCUGCGCAGUGUGCUGGGAAGUCUAGUGAACCUUAUCACUUAGAGGAAGGAGAAGUCGUAACA